GAUGAACGCUAGCUACAGGCCUAACACAUGCAAGUCGAGGGGAAACGAUAUUGGAAGCUUGCUUCCGAUAGGCGUCGACCGGCGCACGGGUGAGUAACGCGUAUCCAACCUGCCCAUCACUUGGGGAUAACCUUGCGAAAGUAAGACUAAUACCCAAUGAUAUCUCAAGAAGACAUCUGAAUGAGAUUAAAGAUUUAUCGGUGAUGGAUGGGGAUGCGUCUGAUUAGCUUGUUGGCGGGGUAACGGCCCACCAAGGCGACGAUCAGUAGGGGUUCUGAGAGGAAGGUCCCCCACAUUGGAACUGAGACACGGUCCAAACUCCUACGGGAGGCAGCAGUGAGGAAUAUUGGUCAAUGGGCGAGAGCCUGAACCAGCCAAGUAGCGUGCAGGAUGACGGCCCUAUGGGUUGUAAACUGCUUUUAUAAGGGAAUAAAGUGAGCCUCGUGAGGCUUUUUGCAUGUACCUUAUGAAUAAGGACCGGCUAAUUCCGUGCCAGCCGCCGCCGUAA
rnacentral:rRNA from 1 species